rnacentral:rRNA from 1 species
UACAGAGGGUGCGAGCGUUGUCCGGAAUCACUGGGCGUAAAGGGCGCGUAGGUGGCGACCCAAGUCGAUGGUGAAAGCUCGUCGCUCAACGACGAGUCGGCCACCGAUACUGGGUUGCUCGAGCACUGUAGAGGCAGAUGGAAUUCCGGGUGUAGCGGUGGAAUGCGUAGAGAUCCGGAGGAACACCAGCGGCGAAGGCGGCGUCCUGGACUGGUACUGGACGCUCAGGAGCGGAAAGCGUGGGUAGCAAACAGGA